CUUGAGGCAACCCAUCUGAGGUGGCAUCCAGAGGAGACUGGCUGGCCCCUCCUUCACCUUGGAUGUAGUGCUGUUUCUAGGAUCUCUUUUCAAUCAGCAAAACAGGGGAUGUUCCAAGAGGGUGUGGAUUCCCUGCCAUCCCACAUGGUCAAGUGGAGGGGACGGGAAAAAGCUAUGAAGGGUUUGUGACCACACAGACUCUCCUGGCCCCCUGUCCUUUUGGAAAGAAGACAGGGAUGAAAUAUAAUCAAGCAAUUAACCACCCCCAUCAUCACCAAGAACAACAGUAUCAACAAGAAGAACAGGGACAACAAAACCCACGGAUGAAACAUUCCUUUCUCAGCUCAGAUCUUAUCUGGUGCGUUCUCUCUCUGCUCUGUCUUGGUGUGUGGUUUAGAGAAACAUGGACAACGCUGUUUGGAAGAACAGAACUUGCCCUCUGCUGAAGGUGCUGCCUCACCAUGAGGUUAUACUCCUACCUCAGGGAUCACAAGGUGGCUCCCUGAACAGCUCCUUGCUGCCAUUUUGUGAUGACACCAUCUUUAACACCUGGCUUCUGAAGUCUCAUGGAGAGGUCUCUAUCCAGGGAGUACAUUGGAUACUUUCGCGGUCUCUGUGGACGGGGAGACAGCACACUGGAGACUAACACCAUGUUGGCCUGGACAUGAUGCAUGACCCUUACGCCCAUGUUCCAUUGGUGAGACCCAGUCGUGUGGAUCGCACUAGCUGCAUGGGCUGGGUUGUGGGUGUGGGUGGUGAAAAUUGUAGACUGGGCAUCUGCUCCCCAGAAGCAACUCAACAUGGUGUUGGGGGAGCAUGAAUCUUUGGUGGUCAGUAGUUUUUUCUACCACACCAUCCUAUGCAAAGCUGUGAAGUAACUGAAGUUUGUCUUGACUUCUCUAUCCAACCCAUCUCCCCGCAGCCUUCCA
rnacentral:lncRNA from 1 species